rfam:Bacteroides coprocola DSM 17136 Scfld_02_83 genomic scaffold, whole genome shotgun sequence.
CAAGUUAUAGUUCACGUGUUAUGAAACAAACAAUGGUAAAUACAUUUUUCUGGUGGCACCUCUUGCAGCUUCAAAAAGUCGUAAGGGAACAUCAGUCAUGUGUAUAUAUACCAUAAUAAAUAUAUAGUAAAAAUAUAGCAAAGGGCUGUC